rnacentral:rRNA from 1 species
UCCCAGACUCCUACGGGAGGCAGCAGUGGGGGAUAUUGCACAAUGGGGGCAACCCUGAUGCAGCGACGCCGCGUGAGCGAUGGAGUACUUCGGUAUGUAAAGCUCUGUCAGCAGGGAAGAGAAUGACGGUACCUGACCAAGAAGCCCCGGCUAAAUACGUGCCAGCAGCCGCGGUAAUACGUAGGGGGCAAGCGUUAUCCGGAUUUACUGGGUGUAAAGGGGGCGCAGACGGCGAUGCAAGCCAGGAGUGAAAGCCCGGGGCCCAACCCCGGGACUGCUCUUGGAACUGCGUGGCUGGAGUGCAGGAGGGGCAGUCGGAAUUCCUGGUGUAGCGGUGAAAUGCGUAGAUAUCAGGAGGAACACCGGUGGCGAAGGCGGCCUGCUGGACUGCAACUGACGUUGAGGCCCGAAAGCGUGGGGAGCAAACAGGAUUAGAUACCCCAGUAGG